rnacentral:misc_RNA from 1 species
GAUGAAGAACGCAGCGAAAUGCGAUAAGUAAUGUGAAUUGCAGAAUUCAGUGAAUCAUCGAAUCUUUGAACGCACAUUGCGCCCGCCAGUAUUCUGGCGGGCAUGCCUGUUCGAGCGUCAUUUCAACCAUCAAGCCCUGCUUGCGUUGGGGUCCUGCGGCUGCCCGCAGGCCCUGAAAACCAGUGGCGGGCUCGCUAGUCACACCGAGCGCAGUAAUACAUCUCGCUUUGGGCGUGCGGCGGGUUCUUGCCGUUAAAAAGCCUUAUUUACCCAAGGUUGACCUCGGAUCAGGUAGGAAGACCCGCUGAACUUAAGCAUAUCAAUAAGCGGAGGA